UACGGAAGGCAGCAGUGGGGAAUAUUGCACAAUGGGCGAAAGCCUGAUGCAGCUAUGCCGCGUGUAUGAAGAAGGCCUUAGGGUUGUAAAGUACUUUCAUCGGGGAGGAAAAACAAAACUAAUAAUUUUAUUUCUUGACGUUACCCGAAAAAGAAGCACCGGCUAACUCCGUGCCAGCAGCCGCGGUAAUACGGAGGGUGCUAGCGUUAAUCAGAAUUACUGGGCGUAAAGAGCACGUAGGUGGUUUUUUUAAGUCAGAUGUGAAAUCCCUGGGCUUAACCUAGGAACUGCAUUUUGAAACUGAAAUACUAGAGUAUCGUAGAGGGAGGUAGAAUUCUAGGUGUAGCGGUGAAAUGCGUAGAUAUCUGGAGGAAUACCUGUGGCGAAAGCGGCCUCCUAAACGAAUACUGACACUGAGGUGCGAAAGCGUGGGGAGCAAACG
rnacentral:rRNA from 1 species